rnacentral:rRNA from 1 species
GGAAUAACCUUGCGAAAGUAAGACUAAUACCCAAUGAUAUCCCACGAAGGCAUCCGAAUGGGAUUAAAGAUUUAUCGGUGAUGGAUGGGGAUGCGUCUGAUUAGCUUGUUGGCGGGGUAACGGCCCACCAAGGCAACGAUCAGUAGGGGUUCUGAGAGGAAGGUCCCCCACAUUGGAACUGAGACACGGUCCAAACUCCUACGGGAGGCAGCAGUGAGGAAUAUUGGUCAAUGGGCGAGAGCCUGAACCAGCCAAGUAGCGUGCAGGAUGACGGCCCUAUGGGUUGUAAACUGCUUUUAUAAGGGAAUAAAGUGGGUCACGUGUGACUUUUUGCAUGUACCUUAUGAAUAAGGACCGGCUAAUUCCGUGCCAGCAGCCGCGGUAAUACGGAAGGUCCGGGCGUUAUCCGGAUUUAUUGGGUUUAAAGGGAGCGUAGGCCGGAGAUUAAGCGUGUUGUGAAAUGUAGAGGCUCAACCUCUGCACUGCAGCGCGAACUGGUCUUCUUGAGUACGCACAACGUGGGCGGAAUUCGUGGUGUAGCGGUGAAAUGCUUAGAUAUCACGAAGAACUCCGAUUGCGAAGGCAGCUCACGGGAGCGCAACUGACGCUGAAGCUCGAAAGUGCGGGUAUCGAACAGGAUUAGAUACCCUGGUAGUCCGCACGGUAA